GCCGGACCCGACUGCUAUCAGAGUGGGACUAAGCCAUGCGAGUUAACAUAGCAAUAUGUGGCAUACGGCUCAGUAACACGUAGUCAACAUGCCCAGGGGACGUGGAUAACCUCGGGAAACUGAGGAUAAACCGCGAUAAGUCACUACUUCUGGAAUGGGUAAUGACUAAAAUCUACAUGGCCCCUGGAUUGGACUGCGGCCGAUCAGGCUGUUGGUGAGGUAAUGGCCCACCAAACCUGUAACCGGUACGGGCUCUGAGAGGAGGAGCCCGGAGAUGGGCACUGAGACAAGGGCCCAGGCCCUAUGGGGCGCAGCAGGCGCGAAACCUCUGCAAUAGGCGAAAGCUGACAGGGUUACUCUGAGUGAUUUCCGUUAAGGAGAUCUUUUGGCACCUCUAAAAAUGGUGCAGAAUAAGGGGUGGGCAAGUCUGGUGUCAGCCGCCGCGGUAAUACCAGCACCCCGAGUGGUCGGGACGUUUAUUGGGCCUAAAGCAUCCGUAGCCGGUUCUACAAGUCUUCCGUUAAAUCCACCUGCUUAACAGAUGGGCUGCGGAAGAUACUAUAGAGCUAGGAGGCGGGAGAGGCAAGCGGUACUCGAUGGGUAGGGGUAAAAUCCGUUGAUCCAUUGAAGACCACCAGUGGCGAAGGCGGCUUGCCAGAACGCGCUCGACGGUGAGGGAUGAAAGCUGGGGGAGCAAACCGGAUUAGAUACCCGGGUAGUCCCAGCUGUAAACGAUGCAGACUCGGUGAUGAGUUGGCUUCUUGCCAACUCAGUGCCGCAGGGAAGCCGUUAAGUUUGCCGCCUGGGGAGUACGUCGCAAGCUGAAACUUAAAGGGAUUGGCGGGGAGCACCCAAGGGGUGAAGCUGCGGUCAAUUUGGGUCAACGCGGAAAGGCGGAUUCAGCCAAUUGCGGCCGUUACUUAUGGUCCGGUUGGACCAGSUUGUUGAUWRGUURGUWUUUUUAGKUACUAAWAGUUGGGUAWUAWGGYAAGKUUUCYUGUGAAUUUUU
rnacentral:rRNA from 1 species